AAGAUGUGCCACAAAUACUUGUCAUUUUCGUCCGCCAACCAUACUUUGGCUGUUAGUUCCUGAUACACCUGAAGAUGAGUUGUGUCUUUGAUCCCCGUUACCAAAAACAUUAAGAUCUUCAAAUAACCUAUAAGAUGGAAUGAAGGGUUUUUGUCCAGCAGUAGAGGAUGUCGUCUUGGGGCUAGGCCGAAUCUGUGCAUCCCCAUUGAUAGCUACACCAUUGCUUCCCAUAGUAGGAAUUGAGUUAACAUUCUGUACAGGUCUAGGACCUUGCAAAGGCAUGGAUGUGUUUUGUGGAGUUGAGUACAUAUAGGACGGUCUAGUUGAAUGAUUCAGAUUGCUAAAAUAUCCGGGAGUUGAUGCCCAAGGUGGAGGCGGAUAAGCAGAGUACUGUGGGAAUUGAGUCUGAGCACGUGGCGGUAAUUGUUGAGGCUGAGGAUGAAGUUCUAGCUGAGUUCUAGGUUGUUGGUUCAGUUCAGUUUGUAAAGGACAUUGUGGAAGCUGUUGCGAGGUAUGCUGAGAUUGUAAUGAUGAUUCUUGGGGAUACUGUGGUUGAGGCCGAGGAUGAGGUUGAUGCAGAGGCUGGGCUUGAGGUUGGGCCUGGGCCUGGGUCUGGAACUGCGCUUGGGUUGGGGUUUGAAAUUGGUGAUGAUAUUGAGGUUGGGACUGAGGUUGGGACUGAGGUUGAAACUGAGGAGGAAACUGAGGUUGCGACUGAGAUUGAGGUUGGGGUUGGGGCUGAGUCUGAGCCCAAGGAGCUACAUAACUGUUAAAGCUCUGAUCUUGAUAUCCAAGAUAAGCUUGAGAUGCAUAUGGAUUCCCUUGCGUGGUUGAGGCAACAGGCUCCUGAUGCGUGCUAUGAUUGGCUGAAGCAGAAUUUUGUGGGGUCUCGGGAUAUAUACUUGAUGACAAGGUCAGGCUCAAGAGAUCAAUUAUAUCUUGUUCUUUCGUGGGCAUAGCAGUUGGAGGCGGAUCUCGAAGAAUCAAUGCAUUGCUUGUGACAGGAUCCAAUGAUUCUCCCGUAGAAUUGCUAUUAUAGGCAGAGACCAUACCUUCACUUGUUUGCGCUGCUGGACUUGUUUUUGAAUGUCUGCAUCAGCACAAGCGACAACUUCAUUAGAGAAGACAGACCCAAAGCUGUAAAUACAUCAUAAAUCGCAGUUAGUACUUUUGACUUCCAAUAACAUUUAAGGGCAACAUAGUGCACUAAGCUCCCGCUAUGUGCGAGGUCCGGGAAGGACCGGACCACAUUGGAUCUUAUGUAUGCAGCCUUACCAUGCAUUUCUGCAAGAGGCUUGCCGUGAUUAAAUCCAAAUAAAAGUCACUAGCCUUUAUAUUGAGAACUACCCACCCCCCUUCCUUUCUUCAACCAUCUGAACCUUUUGGAAAACCAAAACGACAAUUAAGAAGUACAAUAACGGUCACAACUACAUAAAAAUUUCCUUCCUAUGAAAGUAAUAGCCUGAAAAUCUUGAUCUCUGCCAUGCAUCCACAGCUCUGCAUAAGAGCAAUGAGUUGUUUUAUAUUGGAAGUAAAUGCAGGUUUUGUAUAUUUACCUUCGAGCUAACUGGGCAAAGUCAUCUUCUUCAUCUUCCUCUUCAUCAAUUUGACCUGCUGUUGGUGCAAGAACUGGUGCAGAAGGUUUUGCAUCUGCUGCUGGAGUAGGUGGCUCAACUUCAGCAGGUUUGAGGCUUGGAUCAUGCAUUUCUCUAGCUGAGAUGUUGUUGUUUGGGACUUCAGUUGGAAGUGGAGAACCAGAAGCUAUUGCGUCAUGUUUAGCCAGCACCAUUUGGAGGUUAUCAUUUAAUUCAAGACCCUGAGCCAGAAGUUCUUCAUC
rnacentral:lncRNA from 1 species